GUUUGUUUGUCAUCAUUCUUCAUCUGCCAAUUAUCUGGUUUAACACGAUUUCAUUACAUAGGCUACUAGCAUGCCUGUGGAUUGGUUGAUUUCCUCUGACUGCUUAACAGACAUUUGAAGGAAACGGGACAGACUUCUGUGUCUAGGAUUUAUCUCCUUUAAAAAAAUAUUUACUUUGCUUGAAAUGACACUUAAUGUCAAUGCAACAUGUAAACAAUCCUCUCCUCACCCAUAAGUGUUUUGAAACUUUAAAAUGUCUAAAGUCAUUCAUUUAAUAGCAAACAAAAGUCGAUUUAUCCCUUCUCCAUUCUCUUCUUCUCAGAAACAUCUAGGACAGACAGGUCGGCGGGCGUUAGUUGACCGACCAACACUUUCGACUGCGCCAGCAUCUGUCCCCUUAAAUGCAGGAGGGACAAUCAUCUCCCAGCACCUCCACUAUCAAGAGGUUUUAUUCCUGCAGAUGCUGAAGAAGUUCAACCUGCCGCAGAAAAUGAUGGUCAAGUUGUACAUCAUGGAGUCCAUCAACAUCCUUAUAUUGUGAUGCUUUGUCUUUUAUUCUGCAACCUAACCAUUCACCCUCCGUGAAUGUGCAAGGAAUUCAGAUUAUUUUCAACGUUCUGUAAACGAUGUGACAUUGAAUCCAUUAAAAGAUGCUCCCCCCAGAUCUGGCAUGUCAGCGGUUUUUGAACACUGAUUAAUUGUGAAAUGUGAAAAUGCCCUAUUUUUUGGAUUGGAUUGAAUCAAUAUAGGAAAUAGAGGAUUGGAUUUUUAAGACUCAUGCAAUAGAGAAAAAAAUCUGGAUUGAAAAAUAACAAUUCAUUUCAGAAAUGAGAAGGUUCAGUACAUUUUAAUCGCACAGCAUUAAAUCAGUCUGGUGUUAUGUUACAAGCGCUGCUCACAAAACAAGUUUGAGCUGUUUCAAAUAACUCAGAUGGUGCCUUGGCUGUGAAGGCAUUACUGAAUGAAUGUUGUAUACUUAGCUGUAUGGUUUACUAUUUUUUUGUUUUACAAUGUCCACCUAACCCUUCAGAAGAUGCAUCAGUGGAAAAAAAAGCUCCUGCAACACCUUUUAGUAGCGAUAGAAAUAAAUGGGGAAUUUUUGUGCACCACAGCAAAGCCAUUACAUUCCACAAGUUUUUUGUGUGGAUUUAAACACACAAGACCCACCGUUUGGGUGGACUUGAAUAUAGCAUGCCUUUCAGUGAACCACAAAAUUUUCACCUUUUAAAAAUGUGGUUGAAUUAUGUUUUUACAACAUGCUAAUUUCUGAACAAUCAAUACAAGAUCUACAAUGUAUUACACUAUUCCUAUAAUACUGUGAAGCUUAGGAUGAGCCAAUGACCAUUUGGAGCUGAAUGUGUGGAACAAUUGACUGAUAACUUGCUAGGAAAUGCAUACGGUUUCAGAAUAAAUGUAUCAAAAAGAAAAGACUUGUUUGUUUUCUAAAACAUACUACUAAUGGCUUAACUUGACGUUUACAGAGAACACAUUAUUUCGGUAGAACAUUGCCAAAUCAACACCAGUACAUUGUCAAUAACAUUCAUAUUUUAAGAAUUGUAAAAUAACUUAUUUCAGAUAAUGAGAAAAACAAAUAUGUAAAUAUUUCUACUUUACGUUAAUACAAAAUUGUAAGUUAAGCUUUUUCAACAAUAAUUCUCAACACAUUCUCAACGUCUGACUUCAAAAAGAAAACGCGUCUUCAGUCGUUUGAGAUGCCGGUGAGGUGCUUCCUGUUGUGGUGGUUGAUCUUGUAUUCAUCCCCAUCAGCAUGGUCCUCACCUGGGGCUUCCCUGGCCAUUCAGGGAGCAGAUACUUCCAUUAACCAGCACCGAGGUGUAACCAUUACACAUGCUCUCUAUACUUGGCAGCAACGGGCAGAUUAAUGUCAUGUAUGUAAUGGUCUAAAAUGCAGCGACAUUUGUGAUUCUUUUAUCGUUGUGGUCAAGGACAACCUCUUUGACCAUUUACCCUGCUGAUAAAUAUUACUUUUGAAAGGUCGGAACCCGGUUGGAGUAUUUUCAUUUGACCAAAUUGGGAGCACUGUUAACUGAACCCACCGUCUCCGUGGCCCCGGCCGGCCCUACGAGUCUGGGAGUUCUGCUAUCUGCAAGGGCCUCGUCCAAAGUAGAGUGAGCCCUGAAAAGAGGGUGUGUUUAUACAUCUGUUUGCCCGCAAUGCUAAAUUAGAGAGGCAUACUACAAAACAAAUAGACUAAUUAUUAAUUGUUUGAAUCAGUGGAUAUUCCAUAAAUAGACAGGACUAUUUCCUUGAUUUCUGUUUCACUGUAUAAUGCUUAAAGAUCCCAUAUCAUAUUUUUUUUAGGGUUAAUAAUUGCAUUUGGUGGUACUACUAGAAUAGGGUUACAUGCCAGUAUGUUAGAAAUACCCCUUAUUAUUCUCACAUUUUUAAUUUCUGCAAAACCAAUUUUCCCCAUUAAAAACAUCUUAUCAAAACUGAUUUGUAUCAUAUUCCAUUAAGGCCCCCUCCUGAGUAGCCCAGUCUGCUGUGAUUUGCCAGCACGCCCACACCGCUGUGAUUGGUCGAACGCUUUGCGCGUGUGUUUGGCAAAUUCCCACUCCUGAGAAGUCAUAAACAUUGCGGGUAGCCGGGAGGGGCGACUUUUGCACUAAAGCACCGCCAACUGCACACUUAUUGAGGGGCGUUCUCGGUGGUCGCAAAUACUUCCCCUGGCUCAGAGUCAGAUUUGUCUAGCUUAGCAGACGUAAAAC
rnacentral:lncRNA from 1 species